UACAGAGGUCUCAAGCGUUGUUCGGAUUCAUUGGGCGUAAAGGGUGCGUAGGUGGCGCCAUAAGUCGGGUGUGAAAUUUCGGAGCUUAACUCCGAAACUGCAUUCGAUACUGUGGUGCUUGAGGACUGGAGAGGAGACUGGAAUUUACGGUGUAGCAGUGAAAUGCGUAGAGAUCGUAAGGAAGACCAGUGGCGAAGGCGGGUCUCUGGACAGUUCCUGACGCUGAGGCACGAAGGUCAGGGGAGCAAACGGG
rnacentral:rRNA from 1 species